AUUGAACGCUGGCGGCAUGCCUUACACAUGCAAGUCGAACGGCAGCGGACCUUCGGGUGCCGGCGAGUGGCGAACGGGUGAGUAAUAUAUCGGAACGCACCUUUCAGUGGGGGAUAACGUAGCGAAAGUUACGCUAAUACCGCAUAUUCUGUGAGCAGGAAAGCAGGGGAUCGCAAGACCUUGCGCUGAUUGAGCGGCCGAUAUCAGAUUAGCUAGUUGGUGAGGUAAAGGCUCACCAAGGCGACGAUCUGUAGCGGGUCUGAGAGGAUGAUCCGCCACACUGGAACUGAGACACGGUCCAGACUCCUACGGGAGGCAGCAGUGGGGAAUUUUGGACAAUGGGCGCAAGCCUGAUCCAGCCAUGCCGCGUGAGUGAAGAA
rnacentral:rRNA from 1 species